rnacentral:rRNA from 1 species
UUGGAGGGCAAGUCUGGUGCCAGCAGCCGCGGUAAUUCCAGCUCCAAUAGCGUAUAUUAAAGUUGUUGCAGUUAAAAAGCUCGUAGUUGAAUUUCGAGACCGGUCUACUGGUCGUGCUUUUGUACGUACUGGUUUUAUUGGUUUCUCCUUUCUGACGAACUAUAAUGCCAUUAAUUUGGUGUUAUGGGGAAUCAGGACUGUUACUUUGAAAAAAUUAGAGUGUUUAAAGCAGGCUCACGCUUGAAUACAUUAGCAUGGAAUAACGAAAUAGGACGUUUGAUUUUAUUUUGCUGGUUUCUAGGAUCGACGUAAUGAUUAAUAGGGAUAGUUGGGGGCAUUAGUAUUCAAUUGUCAGAGGUGAAAUUCUUGGAUUUAUUGAAGACUAACUACUGCGAAAGCAUUUGCCAAGGAUGUUUUCAUUAAUCAAGAACGAAAGUUAGGGGAUCGAAGACGAUCAGAUACCGUCGUAGUCUUAACCAUAAACUAUGCCGACUAGGGAUCGGAUGAUGUUAAUUUUUUAAUGACUCAUUCGGCGCCUUACGGGAAAC